UACGUAGGGGGCCAGCGUUGUCCGGAUUCAUUGGGCGUAAAGCGCGCGCAGGCGGCCCGCCGCGCCGACCGUGAAAGCCCCCGGCUCAACCGGGGGGGGCCGGGCGGGACGGGCGGGCUGGAGGCCGGUAGGGGGGAGCGGAAUUCCCGGUGUAGUGGUGGAAUGCGUAGAGAUCGGGAGGAACACCAGUGGCGAAGGCGGCUCCCUGGGCCGGGCCUGACGCUGAGGCGCGAAAGCGUGGGGAGCGAUCCGG
rnacentral:rRNA from 1 species